rnacentral:misc_RNA from 1 species
GAUAUCGAAUGGCCAAGACUCGAGGAGAUUAUGCCAGACGUGGUGAUUGAUGAUGAAGAUAAGAACACAAAUUUCAUAUUGAAUUGUUUCAGAGAAGAAGUAACGAGCAAUAAUGUAGGGAAUAGUUAUUCAUGUAUCGAGGAAGGUAAUAAAAAGAUAUCAAGCGACGAUGAAAAAAUCAAAUUAUUAAUGGAUUGGCAAGAUAAUGAUGAGUUAGUAUGGCCAACGUUACCAUGGGAAUUAGAAACGGAUAUAGUUCCCAGUUGGCCACAAUGGGACGAUACUGACACUAACUUACUUCAAAAUUGCACCAAUGAUAAUAAUAAUUAUGAAGAAGCAACAACAAUGGAAAUUAAUAACCAAAAUCAUAGUACCAUUGUAUCUUGGCUUUUGUCUUAGAAAUAUAAUAAUAUGACAUUAUAUAUUGCUUUUGAAUAUAUUACUCAACUCUUUUUGUUUCGUUUUAUAUUUGGAAUGUGGGAAUUAGAAUGACUAGUUUAUGUACAUAUUUUAAGUUUCG